rnacentral:lncRNA from 1 species
UCAAAAGUACGCCCAGUACUCCAAAUUAUACAUGAGCAUUACUCAUGUCAUUCAUACAUAAACAUUCAUAAGCAUCACUUAUAACAAUCAUACAUAGACAUUCAUGACCAUCAUUCAUGAGCAUCACUCAUGUUAACAUUCAUGAGCAUCACUCAUGACAACAUCCAUGAGCAUCACUCAUGUCAAUCAACAUAAACAUUCAUGAGCAUCACUUAUGACAAUCAGCUUCAAAAGCUUUAUUUACAGAGCUCUAGCUUCAAAAGCUUCAUUUACAGAGCUCUAGCUUCAAAAGCUUCAUUUACAAAAGCUCCAGCUUCGAAAGCUUCAUUUACAGAGCUCUAGCUUCAAAGCUUCAUUUGCAAAGCUUCACCUACAAAGCUUCAAUGCAGGGUAUACAAAUACCGCCUCCAAACAACCGCCACUUCGGCUCAUACAUGGAUUCAAUUUGAAGUCUCCAGCCAACAAACUUUAUUGAUCGAAGACUUGGGGGACUGCAUUAUGUACCAUAUAUUGAAGAAAAUUUUGUGAAAAACAUGUUCAUUUGAGCAACAUCUAUAGCAUGCAAUUAGCAAAUUAAAGGCGGAAUCAUGCUUGCAUGCACUCAAAACAAAACAUUACCCAUUAAAUUCAAAGCCUAGUAGUUAGGUGAACCAAGACUCAACUCAAAUCAAAGUGAGUUGAGAAAUUUAUACCUUUGUAGAUUCCUCUUUGCAUAAGUAAAUGCUAAUCACCCAAGGAGAGGGCCUUCAUUCCUUGCUUCUUAGAUCCAUGGAUUUGGAUGGAAGAAUAUGUUUCUCCAAGUUCUCAAAAUAGAGAACCUCUAAGUCUCCACACCAAGGUAAAAUGUGAAGAAGAGAUGAGUGACCUUGGAGGAGAAAGAUUACUAGC